GGGGAAUAUUGGGCAAUGGGGGCAACCCUGAUCCAGCAAUGCCGCGUGUGUGAAGAAGGUCUUCGGAUUGUAAAGCACUUUCGACGGGGACGAUGAUGACGGUACCCGUAGAAGAAGCCCCGGCUAACUUCGUGCCAGCAGCCGCGGUAAUACGAAGGGGGCUAGCGUUGCUCGGAAUGACUGGGCGUAAAGGGCGUGUAGGCGGUUUACACAGUCAGAUGUGAAAUCCCCGGGCUUAACCUGGGAGCUGCAUUUGAUACGUGUAGACUAGAGUGUGAGAGAGGGUUGUGGAAUUCCCAGUGUAGAGGUGAAAUUCGUAGAUAUUGGGAAGAACACCGGUGGCGAAGGCGGCAACCUGGCUCAUGACUGACGCUGAGGCGCGAAAGCGUGGGGAGCAAACAGGAUUAGGAUACCCU
rnacentral:rRNA from 1 species